AGAGUUUGAUCCUGGCUCAGGACGAACGCUGGCGGCGUGCCUAAUACAUGCAAGUCGUACGCUUCUUUUUCCACCGGAGCUUGCUCCACCGGAAAAAGAAGAGUGGCGAACGGGUGAGUAACACGUGGGUAACCUGCCCAUCAGAAGGGGAUAACACUUGGAAACAGGUGCUAAUACCGUAUAACAAUCGAAACCGCAUGGUUUUGAUUUGAAAGGCGCUUUCGGGUGUCGCUGAUGGAUGGACCCGCGGUGCAUUAGCUAGUUGGUGAGGUAACGGCUCACCAAGGCCACGAUGCAUAGCCGACCUGAGAGGGUGAUCGGCCACAUUGGGACUGAGACACGGCCCAAACUCCUACGGGAGGCAGCAGUAGGGAAUCUUCGGCAAUGGACGAAAGUCUGACCGAGCAACGCCGCGUGAGUGAAGAAGGUUUUCGGAUCGUAAAACUCUGUUGUUAGAGAAGAACAAGGAUGAGAGU
rnacentral:rRNA from 1 species